rnacentral:rRNA from 1 species
CCAGCGAACUUGGCAGAGAUGCCUUGGUGCCUUCGGGAACGCUGAGACAGGUGCUGCAUGGCUGUCGUCAGCUCGUGUUGUGAAAUGUUGGGUUAAGUCCCGCAACGAGCGCAACCCUUAUCCUUUGUUGCCAGCGAUUCGGUCGGGAACUCAAAGGAGACUGCCGGUGAUAAACCGGAGGAAGGUGGGGAUGACGUCAAGUCAUCAUGGCCCUUACGAGUAGGGCUACACACGUGCUACAAUGGCGCAUACAAAGAGAAGCGACCUCGCGAGAGCAAGCGGACCUCAUAAAGUGCGUCGUAGUCUGGAUCGGAGUCUGCAACUCGACUCCGUGAAGUCGGAAUCGCUAGUAAUCGUGGAUCAGAAUGCCACGGUGAAUACGUUCCCGGGCCUUGUACACACCGCCCGUCACACCAUGGGAGUGGGUUGCAAAAGAAGUAGGUAGCUUAACCUUCGGGAGGGCGCUUACCACUUUGUGAUUCAUGACUGGGGUGAAGUCGUAACAAGGUAGGCGUAGCGAG